AUUGAACGCUGGCGGCAGGCCUAACACAUGCAAGUCGAGCGGAUGAAGGGAGCUUGCUCCUGGAUUCAGCGGCGGACGGGUGAGUAAUGCCUAGGAAUCUGCCUGGUAGUGGGGGAUAACGUCCGGAAACGGGCGCUAAUACCGCAUACGUCCUGAGGGAGAAAGUGGGGGAUCUUCGGACCUCACGCUAUCAGAUGAGCCUAGGUCGGAUUAGCUAGUUGGUGGGGUAAAGGCCUACCAAGGCGACGAUCCGUAACUGGUCUGAGAGGAUGAUCAGUCACACUUGAACUGAGACACGGUCCAGACUCCUACGGGAGGCAGCAGUGGGGAAUAUUGGACAAUGGGCGAAAGCCUGAUCCAGCCAUGCCGCGUGUGUGAAGAAGGUCUUCGGAUUGUAAAGCACUUUAAGUUGGGAGGAAGGGCAGUAAGUUAAUACCUUGCUGUUUUGACGUUACCAACAGAAUAAGCACCGGCUAACUUCGUG
rnacentral:rRNA from 1 species